rnacentral:rRNA from 1 species
UACGGAGGAUCCAAGCGUUAUCCGGAUUUAUUGGGUUUAAAGGGUGCGUAGGCGGCCUGUUAAGUCAGAGGAGAAAGACGGUAGCUCAACUAUCGCAGUGCCUUUGAUACUGACGGGCUUGGAUAAACUAGAGGUAGGCGGAAUGAGACAAGUAGCGGUGAAAUGCAUAGAUAUGUCUCAGAACACCGAUUGCGAAGGCAGCUUACUAUGGUUUUAUUGACGCUGAGGCACGAAAGCGUGGGGAUCAAACAGG